AUUCAUGGAGAAAGAAUUUUGACUCCGGCCUGUCACUCGGCCUCCAGUUCCACCCUCAUCCUGUUACUCUCAGAUGCUCUCCUGCCUUUCCACACAUCUGCUUUCCAGUCUCCUGUAAUCUCCACCUGGCACCUGACACCUUUUGAAAUCAAUUCACUCAAGAUUCUACCCACAAGAGUUGAUCAUCCGGUUCUUCCAGAUGGAAACCAGCUUGCCCAGAGACUCUAUCAGGAUGGGAGAUCGCAUAUUCCCGAGCCCGGUUACUCAUUUAACACAGCUUCGCAAGAGCUGGAAUCCUUCUGGUUGUGUCCAUUUCUUUGUCCAGAGCAACGCAUGAAUGAUUAUCCGGAUGUUUCAGGGGAGAGUGGAACUGGGGCAAUGAGGACGAAUCAAGAUGUCACCACACAUCUGAAAACUGGCCUCCAGCCUUCUGUGGGAUUUUCUCAACAGAUCAUGGGCCUCUCGCCACGGAGAUGUUGGCCUCAGAAGCAAUGGGGAGAAGGUGAGAGUUCCAGGCCAUGUUGAAUACGGGAAACAGAACACUCAGAGAACUGCUUUGACAGAAGUGACGUGUGGGUAAAGCCUGGUAAUGGGAAUGGACUGGAGGGGUGUGUGUGUGUGUGUGUGUGUGUGUGUGUGUGUGUGUGUAUGUGAGAGAGAGAGAGAGAGAGAGAGAGAGAGAGGGGUAUCUCCAGUUAUUCUUUGUAUAUUUAAGUUGGGUCAUGAUAGUUGCUACAAUG
rnacentral:lncRNA from 1 species